GUAUUUGCUCUCAUUAAAACACCUGUGCUUUGCCCCGCCCACCGACCAAACGAGAGUAAACUGGUCGAAAACUGUAGCAAGUGAAUGGGACACCUGAAGAAAAAUGCUGAUGAUGCCAUUGACAAGCGAUACGGCGUUAAUUUGUCUUCACCUGUGAUGGAGAAUGAGAGCUGUGGAAAAGUGCAGGCUGCAGGAAGUCGAGGGCCACCCGAGAUCUCCGGGAUUUUGCUCUCCACUGGACCCACACGAGGUUGGAUGGAGACAUCGCAGAUCAUGACCCAGAAACAAAUGGCAUAAUGACUGGAGUCUCGAGGCUAAAGACAUCAAGGAUAUCCAGCUGAUCUCAGAGGUCAACAGGUCCUCUCAGUCAACUGGAGAAGAGCCUGAAUUUCACAAAGACAGGAGCUUCGAGAUACCCACUCACAAUAAUACCAAGACUGUGCUAUUUAUUUCUGUAUUUCUGUCAUCUGGUUUUAUAACCUUGUUGCCCACAUUGACAAUUACUGUGACCUUGCACUAAUAUAAAAAAAAGUAUUUAUUUAUUUAAUUUUACAUAGAGAACACUAUGACACAAAAUGGAAUGAAAAUAUUUUGCACAUUGAAACUUGUAUUUAUUUCAUGUAAUUGAUUGAGUCUAACAAGUAUAUUUUUGACAGCUAAAUAAAGCUUUUUUUCCCUUUAA